rnacentral:rRNA from 1 species
CGGGGUGCACCAGGCGCGAAAACUUUACAAUGCUGGCAACAGCGAUAAGGGGACCUCGAGUGCCAGGUUACAAAUCUGGCUGUCGUGAUGCCUAAAAAGCAUUGCAUAGCAAGGGCCGGGCAAGACCGGUGCCAGCCGCCGCGGUAACACCGGCGGCUCGAGUGGUAACCGUUAUUAUUGGGUCUAAAGGGUCUGUAGCCGGCCGGAUAAGUCUCUUGGGAAAUCCAGCAGCUCAACUGUUGGGCUUUCAGGAGAUACUGUCUGGCUCGAGGCCGGGAGAGGUGAGAGGUACUUCAGGGGUAGGGGUGAAAUCUUGUAAUCCUUGAAGGACCACCAGUGGCGAAGGCGUCUCACCAGAACGGACCUGACGGCAAGGGACGAAAGCUAGGGGCACGAACCGGAUUAGAUACCCGGGUAGUCCUAGCCGUAAACGAUACUCGCUAGGUGUCGGCCACGGUGUGACCGUUGUCGGUGCCGUAGGGAAGCCGUGAAGCGAGCCACCUGGGAAGUACGGCCGCAAGGCUGAAACUUAAAGGAAUG